UGGGGAAUAUUGCACAAUGGAGGAAACUCUGAUGCAGCGACGCCGCGUGAAGGAAGAAGUAUCUCGGUAUGUAAACUUCUAUCAGCAGGGAAGAAAAUGACGGUACCUGACUAAGAAGCCCCGGCUAACUACGUGCCAGCAGCCGCGGUAAUACGUAGGGGGCAAGCGUUAUCCGGAUUUACUGGGUGUAAAGGGAGCGUAGACGGACGGGCAAGUCUGAUGUGAAAGCCCGGGGCUUAACCCCGGGACUGCAUUGGAAACUGUCCAUCUUGAGUGCCGGAGAGGUAAGCGGAAUUCCUAGUGUAGCGGUGAAAUGCGUAGAUAUUAGGAGGAACACCAGUGGCGAAGGCGGCUUACUGGACGGUAACUGACGUUGAGGCUCGAAAGCGUGGGGAGCAAACAGG
rnacentral:rRNA from 1 species